CGUGAGUAACCUGCCCUAGAGUGGGGGACAACAGUUGGAAACGACUGCUAAUACCGCAUAAGCCCACGGUACCGCAUGGUACUGAGGGAAAAGGAUUUAUUCGCUUUAGGAUGGACUCGCGUCCAAUUAGCUAGUUGGUGAGGUAACGGCCCACCAAGGCGACGAUUGGUAGCCGGACUGAGAGGUUGAACGGCCACAUUGGGACUGAGACACGGCCCAGACUCCUACGGGAGGCAGCAGUGGGGGAUAUUGCACAAUGGGGGAAACCCUGAUGCAGCGACGCCGCGUGGAGGAAGAAGGUUUUCGGAUUGUAAACUCCUGUCGUUAGGGACGAUAAUGACGGUACCUAACAAGAAAGCACCGGCUAACUACGUGCCAGCAGCCGCGGUAAAACGUAGGGUGCAAGCGUUGUCCGGAAUUACUGGGUGUAAAGGGAGCGCAGG
rnacentral:rRNA from 1 species